UUUCAUUUGCCUAUUAUUCUUUGAUAUAUAUAUAAAAGCAAAGACAAUUAUUGACCAUGGACAUAAACUAUGAAAACCAACAUGUCAAUUUCUCUAUCUACGUAGGUGCUUACAGCAAAUUGACGGGACAAAACUAAAAUCGUGCAGGUUGCAAAAUAUCAGUAUAAAAUGCACAUGAUUUAUAAUUUUCUCAUUUUCUAGCUUGAUUAUGUUAGUUGUUAGCACAUACGAAAAUGAUUAUUUUACUGAUAUUUAUUAAUACAUAAAUUAUAAAUUUAAAACAUCACAAUAUGUUAUUUUAUGGCCUUAAUCAUUUUUUCUUUUUCUUUUUUUUUCGUCUCAUUUUUUGAGAAAACAUGAGAAGAAUUUAUAAUACUAUGAAGAUAUAACUACAUAUUAAACAUUCAACGUAAUGAAGUAAGGCACGCAGGUCAAUCACCAUCUUUUUUUUUUUUUGGAAAUUUCAUGUUUACCACAUUGUUUGUACCAUUAUACAUGUUAAUUUUUACUAAAAAAACAUUUUCAAAAAAAAAAAUAGACAUUUUCAAAAACAUCUUCUUCAUGAAGAGGCAAAAAAUUCUUACACCUUUGUUCUCUAUAUAUAAUAAAUAAUUAUUUAAAUAAAUAAUUUCUUUUUGUAUUUUUUAUUUAUACUUUUUCAAAUUUGAUUUUUUUUAUAAAUAUUUUCUUUUUGAUUUUUGUUUCGAAUUUUCUUGUUAAAAUUCAAUUUUUUUAAACUAUUUAUUUAUAUAUUUAUUUGAAUCAUAAACUUUACAUUCCAAAAACCAUAUUCCACCCUCUCCCCAACUCUCAACAAUAAGUCUA
rnacentral:lncRNA from 1 species